CUUCAUUCUUCAAAGUGGCGCGACCAAGAGCUGCGGGCACUAAGAGGACAAAAAAUCCUGUAACACCGGGUGACUGACUGCUCCUGGGGAAAAUUCACAACUAACAGAAGGACGCCCUGCUCACGGCCGUACCCUCGUGCCUAUCACUAGUGCCUGACACAUGACAGAAACUCGAUGCUCACCCUUGGAACGCAGCCACCAUGCUGUGAGAAAGCCCAAACUACCCCAUGUGGAGAGACCACAAGAAGAGGCCCAUGUGGAGAAAAACUGAGGCCCCCAACCGACAGUGGGCACCAACUACCAGACACAUGAGUGAACACGCCUUCAGAUGAUUCCUGUCCCCAGCCUUUGUGUUCUCGGGCUGAGGCCCAAACAUACGUCAUGGGGCAGAGAUAAGUCAUCCCCACUGUGCCCUGUCCUAAUUCCUGACCCAGAGAAUCCAUGAGCAGAAUAAAUGGUUAUUUUAUGCCACAAAGUUUUAGAGCAAUGUGUUGCACAGCCGAAGUAACUGGAACAAAGACUUUCAAAGGAGAAGAAACUAUACAAGUAAUAGAAUGUUGCAGAGCAUUGUGAAUAGUUAGUACUGGGUGAUGAGGUCACAAAGGUUGGCUGGGACCAGGCCAUGAAAAGUCUCUUAUGACAGUCUCAUAUGUCUAAAAAAAUUAGACAUCCUACUGGCAGUGGAAAACUGUGGAAAAUUUUUAAGCUGGGAAGGGAAAUGCUUAGAACUGCACUUGAGCAAGAUAUCUCUGAGAUUGGUGUGAAGUAAAGAUGGGAGAAAAGGAAGACUCAAAAAUAAGAAAAGCUCCUCCAAUUGUGAGUUCCAACCAAGUAACAUGGUGGAAUCAUCCCUCACUUGACAUGUUUUGUGACUUUUUUCCUCUUAAGCGCUGCCUCUUAGGCUCAUUUAUACUCCAUCUCACUUGUAUUAUAAUGUUGGCAGGAAAAACUUAUUUCCACACAAAAACGUGCACAUGGAUAUUUACAGCAGCUUUAUUUAUAAAUGCCCAAACUUAGACACAACGAAGAUGUUCUUCAGCAGGUGGAUGGAUAAAUACCCUAGCAUAUCCUAUUCAGCACUAAAAAGAAAUGGGCUAUCAAGACAUGAAAAGAUAUGGAGGAGCCUUAAAUGCACGCUGCUGAAUAAAAGAAGACAGUCUGAAAAGGCUAUAUCCUGUAUGAGUCCAACUAUACGACUUUCUAGAAAAGGCAAAACUAUGGAGACAGUUAAAAUAUCAGUGGUUGCCAGGGGUUAGGAGGAAGGGAGGAAUGGCAGGCAGAGCACAGAAGUUUUGCAGGGCAGUGAAAUACUCGUAUGAUACUAUAGUGGUGGAUACAUGUCUUUAUACAUUCGUCCAAACCCAAAGAAUACACAACACCAAGAAUGACCCCUAAUAUAAACUAUGGUCCUUGGGUGAUGAUAAAGCGUUAAUGUAGGUUUGCUGAUCGCAACAAAUGUGAGGUGGUGGUAGUGGGGGAAGUUGUGCUUGUUUGGGAGCAGGGGUAUGCGGGAAAAUCUCUGUACCUUACAUUCAAUUUUACUGUGAAGCUAAAAAUGCUUUAAAAAGUGGAAGUCUAUUUCAAAAAGGUUGGGGGGGGGAUAUGAGGGGACAUUAGAUCAAAAAAUGUUUUCCUUACCAUUCUUCUUUCAAGCUUCUGGAUCUGGAUCAGUUUAUAUCAAGUGUAUUCUAAGAAUACAGAGCAAGCUGUCUUAAAAAUGGUAACCACUUACAACUAAUUAUCCAUGUGAGUAAUACCAUCCUUGUACUACAAAUAUCACCAUAACCCACAACUUCAUGUUCUGUGUUUAUUGAAAUGUCUUCAUCAUCAUUCUCAUGACUAGUUUAUAAGAAAAUUAUAUAAAUGUGAAUCUGUAAAAUAAAUCUAUUCUAAUCAACUACAGUUUUUAUAUUUUGGAUACUGGGGAUCUAUAUAAGGAGAAAAUCACAGUACGUGGCCCAAAGAUGAGGGAGAAGAUGAAACACAACAUAAGGAGCCACCUCUGCAGUGAGGGAAAGGAUGCUUGGAUGAAUAUAAAAGCAAAGAUAAAUGAAGGGAUGAAAGAUACUAAUGAUAAUGUUUCAUUCUCCUCUUGGCAGAGGGUCCUGAGUCCUAUUUUUUGAGAAAAGUAAGAGGAAGGAUGUAUUAAAAAUUGAGAGUUUCUGAAGAAUAGGGACAGUAUGGAGUGGCUCCACUGUGAAUCAAUCAGAUCUUGAGUAGCAGCAGAGCCCAGUUGGAAUUGGAUAGUGUAAUUUAUUGGAGGCCAGGUUGUGUCAUUUUAUACUGUGCUUUCUCUAAUGUUAAUUACUCAAGAGGUGAUUAGCCAAUUUGUGGGAUGCCGUACAUCUUGCUUUUCACAUUUUGGUCUAAUGCUUGCUUAUGAAAAAUGUCUAAUUUAAACUCUUUAUCAAAGAGAAGUUAGUACAAAUGAAAAAAAGAACUCUUAUUUUUCUGCAUUUUAAACCAUGCAUAAGAGAUUCGAGGUUUGCAGUUAAUAAUUUUUGAAACAAUGAAAAAGAAAAAAAAAGCAAAAUAGAGGGAAUGAAACCCCACUGAAACAAAUGGUAAAAUAAGAUCACAGGAUCAUGUGUGGGUUAAAUUCAUCCAUGCUGGUCCCAUCCCUCAUUAUCAAAGUUAAAUUAAAACCAUUGCUGCCAUAUUUCACAAAAUAAAAUCUGAUGUAAAGCAAUUCCUGCCUAAUAUUUCUUAUUCAUGUUUCUGAGUAACCUUUCUAUUCUUUAACCAAUUUACCUGCAUCCCAGAGGUUACAAACGUCUGCUGGCCCUUCUGAUAACCAUUUAGUUGACGAGAUAUUGGAAGGAGGAAUUGUCGGCAAAAGUGGCUUUGGAUCAUCCUCAUAAAAUAACAUCAGGUCCUUAGAGAAAACAGGAGAGCACAUGAAAGUUGAAAAAAAUAAUUGAUCCCAGUGCUUCAUUUUGCUAAAGUAGGUGGACAAUUUAUGGAGAUAUAAUGUGUCUGUAUGUGCUAACAUAAACACAUUUAAUUGAAAGAACUCAAAUAUAAGUUAGCUAUACACUCGGUGUCCACUGAGUAUAGGGUGGUUUUCUACCCCUGGAGAUCCUCACUCCUUGAUGAAGACAGCUGGUGCAGGCAAGCAAGAUUCUGUUUGAGGCAUUAACUGUCCCUAUCAGCCCUUGAGCAUCCUAGAGCACACUAUCUCAGAAGCCAAUUUUUCUGUUUUACUGGUAAUAAUAAAGCUACCUGUGUGUAACUUUUAUUCAUAUUUUAAAACUUUUUUAAAUCAUGGAGUUAAAAAAUAGAUGAUAAUUAAUCCAGUCGUGCAGGUUAAACAAAUCAAUGCAUGGCCAGUCUUGUUUCAUUUAUAUCCUCCCACUCCUCAUCUGUUUUAUUGUGAAGCAAAUCCCAGCUAUAUCACUUUUUUCAGUAUAUCUCUCUAAAUGACAAAAACUCUUUAACAUAAUAAUUAUUAUUUUAUACUUAGAAACUUCACAACUCCCUAAUGUCAUCAAUUAUAAACUCAUCUUUCCAAUUUUUCCUAAGUGCCAUAAAUAGGUUUCUCUAUAGCUUGUCUAAGAGAGGAGUCAAAUAAAGUCUACACAGUGGGAUCAGUUGACAUGUCUUUUGCCCCAAUGAACAGAGAUUUGUUCUACAGUAAAUAAAGUUUAAGAUAUAAUUAACAUAGAAUGCAUAGAUCUCAAUAAAUUUUAACAUUAUAUCUAUACCUGUGUAGCCACAUUUCUGUCACUCCAGAAAGUUCCCUCAAGUUUCUUUCCAGUUGAUACCAGCCCCCGUUACCAGUACACAGUGUUCUACCUUCUACCAUAAUCAAUGAGUUUGCCUGUUCUUGAGCUUCCUGAAUGUAAUCAUAUACUAUGUGCUCUUUUGUAUCCAAUUCCCAUUGCUUAAUGGUUGUGAGAUUCAUCCAUAUUUUGUGUGUAUCAGUUCCUUUUCUUUUCGUAACAAGUAUUCCAUUGUAUGAAUAUACCACAAUUUGUUUAUCCAUUCUCCUCCAUAUGGACAUUUGGAUUGUUUCCAAAUUUCAGCUACUACGAAUAAAGCUACUAAGAACAUUCUUAUACAAAUCUUUUUAUGGACAAAUGCACUCAUUACUCCUGGAUAUUUACACAGGAGUAGAAUGGCUAGGUCAUAGGAUAGGUUAAUUUUUUAACUUCAUUGAAACUGCCAAACCAUUUUCCAAAUGAUUUGCCACUUUUUAUAUUUUCAACUUUUAUUUUAAAAUCAUUGUAGAUUCAUGUUCAGUUGUAAGAAAUAGUACAGACUGAUCCUGUGUAUCCUUUACCCAGUUUUCCCUAAAGGUAACAUUUUAAAAAUUGUAGUACAAUAUUAUCCAGGAUAUUAACAUUGAUAGUCAAAAUAGAGAACAUUCCCAUCACCAUAAAGAUCCUUCCUGAUACUUUAUUACCAUAGCCUGCCCCCCCACAACUACUAAACUGUUCUCCAUUUCUAUAAUUCUGACAUUUGAAGAAUGUUAUAUAAAUGGAAUCAUACAGGAUGUAACCUUUUAGAAUUGGCUUCUUUCACCUGGCAUAAUUCCUGGAAAUUCACCCAAGUUGUUUCAUGUAUUAAUAACUUGUUCCUUUUUAUUGCUCUGUAGUAUCCAUGAUGUAGAUGUAUCACAGUUUGUUUAACCUGUCAAAGGAAAUCUGGAUUGUUUCCAGAUUUUGGCUAUUAUAAAUAAAGUUGCUGUGAACACUGUAUACAGGUUUUUGUAUGAAAAUAAAUUUUCCUAUCACUGGGAUAGAUGCCUAAGAAUGCAAUCGCUGG